rnacentral:rRNA from 1 species
GCAACCCCAGGUCAGGSGGGAACUACCCGCUGAGUUUAAGCAUAUCAAUGAGCGGAGGA